CCUACGUGAGGCUGCAGUAGGGAAUAUUGCUCAAUGGGGGAAACCCUGAAGCAGCAACGCCGCGUGGAGGAUGAAGGUUUUCGGAUUGUAAACUCCUUUUGUUAGAGAAGAUAAUGACGGUAUCUAACGAAUAAGCACCGGCUAACUCCGUGCCAGCAGCCGCGGUAAUACGGAGGGUGCAAGCGUUACUCGGAAUCACUGGGCGUAAAGAGCGCGUAGGCGGGAUAGCAAGUCAGAUGUGAAAUCCUAUGGCUUAACCAUAGAACUGCAUUUGAAACUGUUAUUCUAGAGUAGUGGAGAGGUAGGUGGAAUUCGUGGUGUAGGGGUAAAAUCCGUAGAGAUCGAGAGGAAUACUCAUUGCGAAGGCGACCUGCUAGAACAUAACUGACGCUGAUGCGCGAAAGCGUGGGGACCAAACAGGAUUAGAUACCCGUGUAGUC
rnacentral:rRNA from 1 species